rnacentral:sRNA from 1 species
UUUGCACUUGUCGGGGAAGGGUGAGAACCUUCGAUUAAGGUUCGACUCGAGCGAAAGCGAGAGAACGUUGCCAACGGCAACGGCCCGUAGGGUGAGGAGCGAAGCGACGAAUAAUCCUUCCCCCACCACCA